rnacentral:tRNA from 1 species
GCCCGGGUCCCUUAGCUUGGUAGAGGGCAAGCCUGGAGAGCUUGUGGCCCUUACGGGCCUCAAGGGUUCAAGGAGCAGCAGAAACUGCUUGAGAAUCCCUUCCCGGGCG